rnacentral:rRNA from 1 species
AUUGAACGCUGGCGGCAGGCCUAACACAUGCAAGUCUAACGAGUGGCGGACGGGUGAGUAAUGUCUGGGAAACUGCCUGCUGGAGGGGGAUAACUACUGGAAACGGUAGCUAAUACCGCAUACCAUCAGAUAUGCCCAGAUGGGAUUAGCUAGUGGGUGGGGUAACGGCUCACCAAGGCGACGAUCCCUAGCUGGUCUGAGAGGAUGACCAGCCCCACUGGAACUGAGCCACGGUCCAGACCCUUACGGGAGGCAGUAGUGGUGAAGAUUUCACAAGGGGCGCAAGCCUGAUGCAGCCAUGCCGCGUGUAUGAAGAAGGCCUUCGGGUUGUAAAGUACUUUCAGCGGGGAGGCGUUACCCGCAGAAGAAGCACCGGCUAACUCCGUGCCAGCCGCCGCGGUAAUAC